rnacentral:lncRNA from 1 species
UUACAUGACCUAUAAUAUACCUACAUGAUUUAAAACUAAAUUACAUACUUUCAUCAUAUUUACAGAGUAACGUUAGAUAGUAAAAUCAUUAUCUAAAAAACUGGAAUUAUAAAAUUCUCUGUCUUUUCUUUUUAUCAGAAAUAUUAAAACAGAUAAGUUUUUAGUUUAAUAACUUAACAUUCUUUCUUUCGCACUGGAAUAUAUUUCUCUCUAUAUGCAUCACGUUUUACAGUCGAAGGCAGAGGUGGUUAUUUGGUGAGCUGGCUAGAUCAACCAAAUUUCAAGGUAAAUGUCAACAUUCGGAGCAUCAAUUUUCAUGGUUUGAGUCCUUUUAGCACUCCGCGUUCACCAGAGGGAUGUAUCAGAUUUGUGUAUACACCGAUGAUUGAAGUCGGAUAUGUUAUCUUUCAGCUCUUCCAGAUAAAACUGAGAUCAUCCCUUGACAUCCGCCUAAAAACGAGCAGCAAACCGUUAUCACUUUGGUACAUACGAGCAGAUCGGCAGUUCAAAGGAGGAAAAUCGUUCUCAGCUGCGGUUACCAUCGAUGUUACACAGCCAUUCAGGCUUGAGUUCCAGACAGACUACUUCGCCUGCUUCGACCGUGAAGCAAAGCCCGCUGUGAUAAUCGACGAUUUGAAAGUGAGUUACACGCCGUGUAAUUUAAAACGCACUGCGUCCUCGCCGCGAUCGAAUGGUCGUGGUCAGUCAAACAAAUCUAAAGGCAAAAAGUCGUGGUUCCAGCAGUUAAGCUUCGGCCAGUCUCUGAAGAACUAUUUAAGAUCUCCCUCGACAUCAUCCUCGCCAAGAUCGCCUUCAGGUUCACCUUCAGGGUCAUUCUCCCGAUCGGAUUCAUACAUCAAUGAGUGAAUAAAUAUAAGUAAAGGAACUCUUUAAAGGCAUUCAUUCUUUAAAAUUGUACAUACCCAUUUGAGUAUUUCUGAGACAGCUAAUGGAGAACUUGCAGGCACAUGUUUUUAUUGCUGCGUCUGAGCGUGCUUACAGAGCUAAUUCCUGAUAGAGGAGAUAGGAAGGGGAAUGGGGAGGAUAAGGAGAUAAGAAGGGAUAGGGGAGAUGGGGGGAUAGGAGGGAUAGGAGGGGAUAGGAGAUAGGAGGAGGAAGGGGAUUGGAUGUAUUUCUGCUAAAAGGAACUAGAGAGGAGACGGUUGGGAAAUAAGUGGUGUGCUGUGAAAAGCUGCUUAAGAAUCAAUGUAAAAGUGGGCGUGGUUCCUUUUGUGGAAAUGGUAAAAGUGGGAUUUUACAUUAAAUCCAUCGGAUCCAAGCGCCAAAAUAUGCGGCUUUUAUGAACCGGGGGCUUAUUCCGACAGCGUUGUGGAGAGUUAAUGAGUUAAGGAGCCCAGUCACCGAACCGGGCGGUCCUUUCGUCGCCGCUGACGCCACUGGCGCUUUAUAACUCCUAUGCAAUCUCACGGCGCAAGAACUAACAAGCACACUCCUUUUUCCCCCACCCGUACCUGGUUCCUUAGCAGAUGAACGUCCAAAUAUAGAUUUGAAAGUGAGAAAAUGAAAUGGUGACGUCAUCUGGCGGUAUUUCCCAUUUAAACACAUGUAUUUCAGCGGAUCAAAUCAUUUUGUCAUAACUCCUCCAAUAUCAAAUUGUUUGAUUUAUGAACCAAGGGUAUCUUCGUGUUUAGUUCUCUCCGCACUUAUAAAAUACGAAAUUCAUCAAUUCUCAGACACCUGCAAACUCUCCAUUCAUCUUUUUCCUCACGUAAGAACUAACAACAUUUCAAUGCUCCAAAAUCACAUAUUGAAUCAAGAGAAACUUAGGAAUUUUGGACUGAAAAUUUCACUGAUUUUUCUUCUGAUCUUGUUCAAAAUUCAGAAUAUUAUUUGACGUAAAUUCUUCAAGCUUAUUCUUGUAAAAUAUUGAAUCGUUUGAAUCAAGUUUGAAUUCAAGUCCUUCGUCCAGGAUAAAAACGUCCUUCGUACAAAUUAAGUUCAAAACCAAGCAAAUGCAAGAGGAAAAUUUUAUAUUUUAAAUGUAUCAAGAGGCUCCUUUUAAAAAUGUCAAAGCUGCCUGCGCAUGCUUAACAACACGGAUAAAACACCCUGACGCGAAGAAAUUUAGAUACAUUUUUCAUUUCAGGAUAAUACAGAUGAUUUAUGAGAAUCUGCAACUUGAAUAAAUUUAGCAAAUCAUUCUCCUUCAAUUUUACAGCAUUGACGUGGAUGUGCUAAUUGAAUAACUCAUUUCUAAUCUCAUUAGAAGAAUAAUGGACUUCGUCCAAUUCGAUGUUUUAUACUUUUCAAAUAAUUUACGAUAGUGCGAUCUAUCUGGAUUAUUUAAUUUUUCUUUACGAAGCAUUCUCAUUUGUUAUUGAUCAGUAGAUACAUCGUGCAUAUGUAUAUGUAGGAGACAGUAUUGCACUUUUAAUGAUUCGAUAUCACAUUUUACAUAUCUACUUUUUUAAGAAAGUAACAAAGCUUGAAUGGGUCUGUAGGUAUUUUAUUUUGUUUUUAAGAGAAUAUUUGCAUUUUUCUUCUAUUUUUACUUUUUUCAUUCUUUAAUUGAUAUUUCUUUGUCUUUAUCUUUCCUAAUAGCGACAAUAAUUAUAACCUAUUAUAAUAAAUGUUGGUGUGAGUUUUAGUUCGUUUUUAUCAUGGUUCAUCAAGCUUUUGACACAAAGAGACUGUCCUAUUUCCUAUGGAAAAUGGGACAGCCUCUUUGGCAAAACUCUUUAUCUCCAUUAAAUUUGAGAGUCGUCUCGUUGGAUUUUUGUUGUUGAUACCAGGUUAUAUCCUGGGAAUGAAGGAAUUUUAAAAAAAAAAAAAAAAAAAAAAAAAAAAAAAAAACUUUUACAUCCACACACUUUUUAUGGCGAAGGCUCAAACACUGUCUUGAAACCAGGAAUUAGGUCGUCUAGUUAAAAAAUGGUCAUUAUUAUGAUAAAAAUAAAUAAAACGAUAAUCCGGCACGACUCAAACACAAGUACAUGAUCCUAUGCUACUGUCUACAGGGAUAAAUACGACUUGCACAUUACAAAUUGCUCAUGUGUUAUCAAUGCUCUAACCUCCAAUUGUCAAGUAUCGAAACAAACUUACAACUUGUGUAAAAUUAUUUUAUUGUAACAAAACAUUGGCAUAAAGUUACUCUCCGAAUUUAGUAUGAACCAUACAUUCAACAUUAAAAAGUCGGGGAUAAUACUUGGCAUAAGCAACACACGGAGAGCGUCGAAGAUGGAAAAAAAUCAACUGGAAAACAAACUUAUCUAGUUCCACAAUAUUCGAUAGAAAUAAUAGACGGUACGUCGGCAGAUAUCGUCCAGUUAAAAUUCACCUUCAAUUUCGGCACUUAAGUAACGACCUAUAGUCCCGCCUCUGAAUUUUAAUCGAGGGUGCAAAAAGUGUCCUUUUUAAGGUGAUGUGUUAAAUAUCUCCUUGAACCUUCCGUAAUCAUAAUUUAAAAAAUGGCGUCCCCUAAGGAGAGGACCUGUUUAACGAAGGGCAGUAAAUGCUAUAACUAUACUGUCUAAUAUAUAGCUGACUACAUAGCCUAUAUAGCUGCUACAUAUAAUAUGCGACUAUAAUUGAGGAGUUUGGAGGACAAAGUGCAAGUGCUGUUUUUGCUAUUUCUAGAAAGACGUGUUUAAAGUUUCAAAACUACAUGGAGUCUUAUGGCGAAAAGGAAGUUUAAACUCACUUUUUGAUUUUUUAAAGUUGGAUUUUACUCGUGAAUUUUCCACAAUAAACUUUCAAACAAGUUUUGGUCGAGUUCAUGAGUAUCUCAAUUUUUUCAAAAACUGCACUUAUGCGCCUAGUCCUCCAAGCCCGUUAAUUCUUCUUAGCGGUUGCUUUAUUAUACAAAUAAUAUUUAAUUUCUCUUAUUUUUUCCGUGUCGUUUCCUUUUCUUGCCAUCCCCUCCAUUCUUUCUCUUGCUCCCUGGUCCCCAAUCGAUGCGUGGCGGAGGUCCUGAUGGGUUUAAGACUUGACGCUCCGAUGCUGGUGGCGCGUCUUUGCAUUCCAGAGUCUCCACGUUGAAGUUCUCGUCCGGACAAGUCGAAGGGUUAUCAGCACCCUAAAAUCACAAAAGCAACGAGAGGAAUGAUUAGACAGGGUUUUAAAGACGAUAUGGCGUUUAUAAUACCAACAAUUAGUCAAGAAAACCUGAACCAAAAUAGGAGUACCGCUGAAAAAUGUCUCCCGCGCAAUUUGAAUGACACUUUAUACCUAUGUAUGCGAUUUUUUACGUAGAAUCCGAAUUUCAACUUUCCCAAUAAAAAAACCCCUGGAUCAUCCACCAUAUUGGGGGGGAGAAGUUUCCAAAUCUCAAGAUAUCGUCUCUUCCCGGCCGAAGUAUCACAAGCGCCAUGCGACGUUUAAAAAUUUCCGCCGUUAUUUUAUUUUUUUACAGAGAAAUCGUUCAAUGAAGGUUUGAACAUUUCAGUGAAUUUUCUUUGCGCUGCCGAUAAAAUUCAGUGAAAUUUUCAGACGGAUUCAACCAACAGUUUCUCUGUAAAAAAAUGAAAAGACUUGGGGCUUGUGAAACAUUGGCCGGAGGGUGACUGUAUUUCGAGAAAGAAAUAAGGGCAUAAG